rnacentral:rRNA from 1 species
UGAAGGGCGCAGCUGAUCAUCAUGCCGCGUGUGUGAAGAAGGCCUGCGGGUUGUAAAGCACUUUAAGCAGGGAAGAAUGGGCUAAGUUAAUACCUUUGGUCAGUGACGUUACCUGCAGAAUAAGCACCGGCUAACUCCGUGCCAGCAGCCGCGGUAAUACGGAGGGUGCGAGCGUUAAUCGGAAUUACUGGGUGUAAAGCGCGCGUAGGCGGUUGGCUAAGUUUGCUGUGAAAGCCCCGGGCUUAACCUGGGAACUGCAGUGAAUACUGGUCGGCUAGAGUAUGGUAGAGGGUAGUGGAAUUUCCGGUGUAGCAGUGAAAUGCGUAGAGAUCUGAAGGAACACCAGUGGCGAAGGCGGCUCUCUGGACUCAAACUGACGCUGAGGUACGAAAGCGUGGGUAGCAAACAGGAUUAGAUACCCUGGUAGUCCACGCCGUAAACGAUGUCAACUAACCGUUGGGUUCUUUAAGAACUUAGUGGUGGAGCUAACGUAUUAAGUUGACCGCCUGGGGAGUACGGCCGCAAGGCUAAAACUCAAAUGAAUUGACGGGGGCCCGCACAAGCGGUGGAGCAUGUGGUUUAAUUCGAUGCAACGCGAAGAACCUUACCUACCCUUGACAUGUAGCGAAUCCUUUAGAG